rnacentral:lncRNA from 1 species
GAUACAAAUAUGCCAUAAGCAUAUAUUUGCAUAAACAUGUAGGAAAUUCAUCUACUCCUCCCACAUAAGUUUUAUCCUACUACCUAAAUUCAUACUUGGAUUCACGUAUAAUGUGAAACCGAUGCAAUACCAGUUUACAUUAGUUUGAGCAACAUUUCAAAUAAAUUCAUUAUGAAUUUAUAAUAAUUUCAUCUAGUUGGCCCGAGCCUUCCCGACGAACUCCCUUAGGCUCUUCUCCGACGAGCCGCCCACGGCCGCCGCCGCCCGCGCCUUCUCCUUCCACGCCGCCGCCUUGGCGCGCACCGCCUCCGACGUGGCGACGUCGAUGCACCUCACCAGCUCGCCCGCCGCNNNN